AGCUCCAAUAGCGUAUAUUAAAGUUGUUGCAGUUAAAAAGCUCGUAGUUGAAUUUCUGUCACGCUUGGCUUGCGUGCUUUAAGUACUGCGGAGCCUGGUUUGAUAUCUUUCGGGUGGUACGUAUCGCUUAAAUGUGAUCGUAUAUUCCUGGACAUUUACUUUGAGAAAAUUAGAGUGUUUCAAGCAGGCAAAUGCCUUGAAUACUGCAGCAUGGAAUAAUAAGAUAGGACUUUGGUUCUUUCUUGUUGGUUCGGAGAACGAAGGUAAUGAUUAACAGGGACAGUCGGGGGCAUUCGUAUUUAACUGUCAGAGGUGAAAUUCUUAGAUUUGUUAAAGACGAACUACUGCGAAAGCAUUUGCCAAGGAUGUUCCCA
rnacentral:rRNA from 1 species